rnacentral:rRNA from 1 species
UACGGAGGGCGCGAGCGUUGUCCGGAAUCACUGGGCGUAAAGGGCGCGUAGGCGGCCCUGGGAGGUCUGCGGUGAAAGCCCGGGGCUCAACCCCGGGUCGGCCGCGGGUACUGCCGGGCUGGAGUGCCGUAGGGGCAGGCGGAAUUCCGGGUGUAGCGGUGGAAUGCGUAGAGAUCCGGAGGAACACCGACGGCGAAGGCAGCGCCCUGGACGAGACCUGACGCUCAGGCACGAAAGCUGGGGGAGCAAACAGG